UACGUAGGGGGCGAGCGUUGUCCGGAUUUACUGGGCGUCAAGGGCGCGCAGGUGGCCUGGUCAGUCCGUCGUGAAAGCCUCGGGCUCAACUCGGGGUGGUCGGCGGGGACGGCGAGGCUUUAGAGGCCGGUAGAGGAGCACGGAAUUCCCGGUGUAGUGGUGAAAUGCGUAGAGAUCGGGAGGAACACCAGUGGCGAAGGCGGUGCUCUGGGCCGAGCCUGACGCUGAGGCGCGAAAGCUAGGGGAGCAAACGGG
rnacentral:rRNA from 1 species